UUCCACUUUCCCACUGAUCAUUUCUUUGUCAGUGGGCAAACGUACAAAAUCAGCCGGGGGUCAAAUCAUUUUUUCCCCUCACUGCAUGUCCGACCCAUCCAAAAAGAUCUUAAUAUAGAGGUUGUUGAAGGACAAACUUUUUCAAAUGGGCCAUCCAUUGUCUGUGUGUAUUGCAGCAAGACAUUUAGUCUUUUUUUUGGUGGAAAUACAUGGGCAUAUCAACCAGUGUAAUUGCAACCAGUCCAACAACAGCAACAGUACUAGCAGCUCACAAAAUGACAGCAGAAACAGAGCAGGCACCGUAACAGACCAGGCACCAGCACCGACAGAGCAGGCACCAGCACCGACCAUGAAUUUGAGGAUCCUUCUGAAGUUGAAGGUGUACUCAUAUUUGAACAAUAAUUGUCAUCAUAUUAUAGUAUUACUAUUAAGAAUGCCUGUAUAAAGGUAAAUGAGAAAUAACGUCCCUUUCCCAGAAUCUAUUAUUUGAUUCAACAUGUAGCACCAGUCUAUUGUAAGUCUAUAACUAGGUUAACCUAUGUGCUAAUCCAGCAAGAAUAUGUUUAUCUAUACUUUUGUGUUUUAUUUCAGACUGGAAAAAAAAGACUGACGAAGGGCAAUCCACAUACAGAUUUCGAAGAUUUUUUUUUACAAAAAGCUGAAUAUCUCCCACCUCUGCGGAUUACUAUGGAUUUAUCCGACACAUCUGAAGACAGAACGAGGGGUUGUGUCGCUCUACAAAACAAACAAAGAUGGCUGGGCAUGUCCAUUGUCGAUCAACCUAAGAGUAUAUGACUAACAUGUCU